rnacentral:rRNA from 1 species
AGCAGCCGCCGCGGGAAUACGGAGGGAGCUAGCGUUGUUCGGAAUUACUGGGCGUAAAGCGCGCGUAGGCGGUUACUCAAGUCAGAGGUGAAAGCCCGGGGCUCAACCCCGGAACUGCCUUUGAAACUAGGUGACUAGAAUCUUGGAGAGGUCAGUGGAAUUCCGAGUGUAGAGGUGAAAUUCGUAGAUAUUCGGAAGAACACCAGUGGCGAAGGCGACUGACUGGACAAGUAUUGACGCUGAGGUGCGAAAGCGUGGGGAGCAAACAGGAUUAGAUACCCCGGUAGUCCCUGUCUCUUAUAC